rnacentral:rRNA from 1 species
UACGGGGGGGGCAAGCGUUGUUCGGAAUUACUGGGCGUAAAGGGUUCGUAGGUGGCUUGUUAAGUCAGACGUGAAAUCCCUCGGCUCAACCGGGGAACUGCGUCUGAGACUGAUGAGCUCGAGUGCAGGAGAGGAACGCGGAAUUCCAGGUGUAGCGGUGAAAUGCGUAGAUAUCUGGAGGAACACCGGUGGCGAAGGCGGCGACCUGGACAAGCACUGACACUCAACUACGAAAGCGUGGGGAGCAAACAGG